rnacentral:misc_RNA from 1 species
GAUGAAGAACGCAGCGAAAUGCGAUAAGUAAUGUGAAUUGCAGAAUUCAGUGAAUCAUCGAGUCUUUGAACGCACAUUGCGCCCCCUGGUAUUCCGGGGGGCAUGCCUGACCGAGCGUCAUUGCUGCCCUCAAGCACGGCUUGUGUGUUGGGCCCCGCCCCCCGGCUCCCGGGGGGCGGGCCCGAAAGGCAGCGGCGGCACCGCGUCCGGUCCUCGAGCGUAUGGGGCUUCGUCACCCGCUCCGUAGGCCCGGCCGGCGCCCGCCGGCGACCCCCCUCAAUCUUUUCAGGUUGACCUCGGAUCAGGUAGGGAUACCCGCUGAACUUAAGCAUAUCAAUAAGCGGAGGA